UUAAAAUAAUUUUCAUCAUCUAGACAUUAAGACCUUUUUAUAUUAGGCCACAUGAGCUGCGAAAUAUGAUGGAAAAAUGAGCUAUGUGACCAAGGCAUACGAAAUUGUUGUUGAUCAUAUAACAAUUGUGUCAUUUGCUAUUGCCCAUGGAUCAAAACCUGGUAAAGUCAUUAAUUCUUUCAAAAGCUGUAUGAUUUUCUCUCGCAAGAUGAUUCACUAACAUAAGUUAUGUAUAAGUGAAGAAAGUAGUGGUAUGUUUUCCAACGUCUAUUCCAACGUCCAGUUCGUUAUGGAAUGGAAUAUUUAGAAGCCAAACAAGGUGUUUUCAGUGGGUAAGUCAAAUAGAAGAUUAUUUAUCGCAUUCUCAUUUUCAAUAUAGAUUUUGUCUUUCAAUAGAAUCUGACACUGUUUUUCAAUAUAGACUUGUAAAAUUUGUUGUUCGGGUGAUGGGCGAUGUCCUCACACAGCUGAAGGAACAUGAAGAACAUAUCACCCAAAUUUUAAGAAUCGAUGAAUUAGGCUUCCGCAACACCAAGGUGAGUACUGAAUUUUAAAUUCUGAUAGAGGAAAAAAAACGGGUUCUUUUAUUUGAAACUUACGUAAUGCUUUCCUUCCUUUUUUUAUAUCUGACACUUGGGUUUCUAUUUGUUAAUGAAGCAAUAUGUGCUCAACUUUAACGACUCUAAGAAGCCUGAUUCACACAUAUCCACAGCUCUGAUCGAGAUACUGAAGGUAUGUUACUCUUGUAUAUUGUUUUCUGAAGCUAUGGUACUCUAUAAUAUUUAUAAUAUUUAAAAUUCUUCUAAAGUUAAAAUAUUUAUAAUAUUUGAAACUUCAUAAAAGUCUUA
rnacentral:sRNA from 1 species